rnacentral:rRNA from 1 species
UGAGGAAUAUUGGUCAAUGGGCGGAAGCCUGAACCAGCCAUCCCGCGUGCAGGAAGACGGCCCUAUGGGUUGUAAACUGCUCUUCCAGGGGGAGAAACUUUCCGAUGAAUCGGGAUUUGACGGUACCCUGGGAAUAAGCAUCGGCUAACUCCGUGCCAGCAGCCGCGGUAAUACGGAGGAUGCGAGCGUUAUCCGGAUUUAUUGGGUUUAAAGGGUGCGUAGGCGGAUCGAUAAGUCAGUGGUGAAAACCUGCAGCUUAACUGUAGACUUGCCGUUGAUACUGUUGGUCUUGAGUAUGGUCAAGGUAGGCGGAAUGUGCAAUGUAGCGGUGAAAUGCUUAGAUAUUACACAGAACACCGAUUGCGAAGGCGGCUUACUGGACCAUCACUGACGCUGAUGCACGAAAGCGUGGGGAUCGAACAG